UACGGGGGGGGGCAAGCGUUGUUCGGAAUUACUGGGCGUAAAGGGCUCGUAGGCGGCCAACUAAGUCAUACGUGAAAUCCCUCGGCUUAACCGGGGAACUGCGUCUGAUACUGGAUGGCUUGAGUUCGGGAGAGGGAUGCGGAAUUCCAGGUGUAGCGGUGAAAUGCGUAGAUAUCAGGAGGAAUACCGGUGGCGAAAGCGACUCUCUGGACGGCAACUGACGCUGAGGCACGAAAGCGUGGGGAGCAAACAGG
rnacentral:rRNA from 1 species